GUGGCUGCUUACAGGUUCAACAUCACCAGCUUACCCGGCUUUCCCGGUGACCUUCCAUUCAGACUGGAAACUGGGUACAUCGGAGUUGGAGACUCUGACAACGUGCAACUAUUCUACUACUUCAUUGAGUCUGAAGGAACUCCGAAGAAUGGCCCGCUUAUGCUUUGGCUCAGCGGAGGUCCUGGCUGUUCUGAUUUUUCUGCCCUCGCAUAUGAAAUUGGUGCGUAAUUUUCUUUACUUCAGCAUCUUUAAUUUGUAACGGUCAUUGUGGAUCAGUACCAUACAUAGCAGGUUUGGAGUUACAUGUAGUUCAAUGGUUCUGUGAUGGUUCUAGUUCACGAAUGUUGGGCUAAUCAGGUAAGUUAUUGCUCAGAUCAAUGCAAUUAAUCAAAGAAAAAUGUCUCCAAAGUUUAAUUUCA